rnacentral:lncRNA from 1 species
CCCACAUCUCAGCUCCAUCUCCCCUCUUUCAGGGUCAAACCCUUCCCCCUCCUCCUAGGGCUCCCCUCCCUGAUCCAGAGUCCCUCCCCAGCUCUCCUGGAGCCCCUUGAGGGACUGGAAGGGGCUCUAAGGUCUCCCAGAAGCCUACCCCCGCCUGACCAGUUUUCGCUGCCUUUUCCCUCUUUCUCGACAUUACCCAGUUUAUUUCCACCCGCCCGGGCCCACAGGCCCCGCCACCGCCACCAUCGGGCCCGCCCCGCGGGGAGCGGCCGAGGGGAGCGGGGCGGCGCCUGCGGAACUACCCGGGCAGCGCGGCGGGACCAGGCCCCUUUCCCCGCCCGCCGCCUUGUGGCUCCGCGGUGGGACCGGGCCUCCCUCCCCGCCCGCCGCCAUGGGGCACCGCUGCAGAGCUGCGCCGGGGCGGCCGCCGUGAGGGCUUCCAGCUGGUGCCCGGCUGAGGCGCCGGUGAUGGGACGGCUGUAACACAGAGCUCGAGGCUGGCAAAGAGCUCUCUGGGGGACACAACCCUCAGUUUGCAUCCUUGGCUGUAGGAGCCGCCUCGCUGAGGCAGCGGUAGCUGUUGGAAGAAAAGGAAAUGAGCUGUUGGUGCCGCUUUGAAGAUUCCCAUUUGAAAGAGAUGGAGAAGAUGGAAACUUCCCCAAUUUAAGUGGGGCUGCUGGAGAAGUCCUUGUUUUCAGGAUCUGGAUGCAGUAACUUGAAAUAGCAAAGGCGGUUGGGGGCAAGGUUAUAAUACGAAUUACAUAUAGAAUUUGUUAAUCCCUUUCACUGCUUGUUUAAAAUGAUAUUCUUAUUAAACUUAUUUGUAUUUUAACUUGAGCGUUUGAGUUUUCAUCGUAUCGUAAGGCUGUGGGGGACAGCAGGAGUUAAAAGCUGUCCUGAAUUCCUGCUGGUGGGAGGCUGG